AGAAUCAGAGUUCAGUGGCAGAACAUCUGCUUUGCAUGCAGAACGUCCAAGGUUCAGUCCCUAUUGUCUCUA